CUUUUGCUUUGUAGGAAAAGCCCAGAUUGAUGCAUUAGUCCUAUGUUAUGAGUAGUUAGGUUUCUCAUAUGCCGGCCCGCGACUGAUUAGUGGCCCGGUAACUUAUCAUUCCAUUUCCUGGAAUUCCAAGACUAUGUAAUCUCACCCCUGCACCUCAGAUUACUUAGUCUUACAAAACAUGCUGGAAUAAUUCGAAUUUUCAUUUCCCAAUUUAUCCCCUUCAACAGGGUCGAAUUACAUAUUAGUAUGAUAUAAAUAGCUUCUCAAUUCCCCCAAAUUACUUUUUGCCCUAGUUUUUUUCGAAGAACAGAGAGUUCCCUUUUCUAUUUGGAUUUUUUCUGCGAAAUUUCUACCGCCUCUCCCUAAAAGAAUUGAGUUUAUUUUUUGGUUUUUGUAAAUCGUUCGGUCGGUGAAGCCUGGCACUUCGGAAACCAUUGUUGAAGGGCAGGACGUGGGGUUUAGGGUAGAAAAUCACUAAUGCCAAGGUCGACAUUUGAGAUGGAGUUUAUUGAAGAUGUCAUCGCUGUUACAAUAGUAUGGCCAACAAAUAAAGAAGCUAUCGUUUAGAGCUCGAUAGCUAAAUUUGUUGUAAUCUUUUCCAACAUAUAUAUUAGAGUCGUAUUAUUUUAUAUAAGUUGAUUAAGUAAUUUAUUUUCUGCUCUUCUUUUGCAACAGAUGAUGCAAUCAAGAAUAACUAGCUUUUUUUAUAACAUAUGAUGCAAUCAAGAAUAAGUCAGAACUAGCUUUUUUGUUAUGACACUGCCUGUUUUUUUUUUUCAAGUCAAUUAUUUUCUAAUAAAACUUAGGAUUGUGCUUGCUUU